rnacentral:rRNA from 1 species
GACGAACGCUGGCGGCGUGCUUAACACAUGCAAGUCGAACGGAAAGGCCCUGCUUUUGUGGGGUGCUCGAGUGGCGAACGGGUGAGUAACACGUGAGUAACCUGCCCUUGACUUUGGGAUAACUUCAGGAAACUGGGGCUCAUACCGGAUAGGAGCUCCUGCUGCAUGGUGGGGGUUGGAAAGUUUCGGCGGUUGGGGAUGGACUCGCGGCUUAUCAGCUUGUUGGUGGGGUAGUGGCUUACCAAGGCUUUGACGGGUAGCCGGCCUGAGAGGGUGACCGGCCACAUUGGGACUGAGGUACGGCCCAGACUCCUACGGGAGGCAGCAGUGGGGAAUAUUGCGCAAUGGGCGGAAGCCUGAUGCAGCAACGCCGCGUGCGGGAUGACGGCCUUCGGGUUGUAAACCGCUUUCGCCUGUGACGAAGCGUGAGUGACGGUAAUGGGUAAAGAAGCACCGGCUAACUACGUG